UACGUAGGGCGCAAGCGUUAUCCGGAAUUAUUGGGCGUAAAGAGCUCGUAGGCGGUUUGUCGCGUCUGCUGUGAAAGCCCGGGGCUCAACCCCCGGGUCUGCAGUGGGUACGGGCAGACUAGAGUGCAGUAGGGGAGACUGGAAUUCCUGGUGUAGCGGUGAAAUGCGCAGAUAUCAGGAGGAACACCGGUGGCGAAGGCGGGUCUCUGGGCAGUAACUGACGCUGAGGAGCGAAAGCGUGGGGAGUGAACAGG
rnacentral:rRNA from 1 species